rnacentral:lncRNA from 1 species
CGACCUAACCAAGUAUCUUCUUAGAAUCUUAUUUGAGAGCCAUCUCCGAUGGUUAAAGUACCAAAGCGUAGAAAAUCACUCUUGACUUUCAUAAGACUAGCCCAAAAAUGUGAGUCCCCAACCUUCCAUUAAACUUGUGACAAAGGUUUUGAUCACAUAUACUUAUUCCGAAUCAAUUGUUGCCACGUUCCUUCAGCUUU